GACAGAGGGUGCAAACGUUGUUCGGAAUUACUGGGCGUAAAGCGCGUGUAGGCGGCUUUGCAAGUCGGAUGUGAAAUCCCACGGCUCAACCGUGGAAGUGCAUUCGAAACUGCAAGGCUAGAGUCCUGGAGAGGAAGGUGGAAUGCUUGGUGUAGAGGUGAAAUUCGUAGAUAUCAAGCGGAACACCGGUGGCGAAGGCGGCCUUCUGGACAGUGACUGACGCUGAGACGCGAAAGCGUGGGGAGCAAACAGG
rnacentral:rRNA from 1 species